ensembl:lncRNA
CUUAAGGUCUAACACAUGCUGCUGGGAAAUCAGCUGUGUCUAUAAAAAUACAGCAUGUAGAUCUGUCUCUACAAAAAUGUGUGUGCAAGAGUGUGAACACAAAAGAGUAUAAAAAUAGGACAGCGAGCUAAGUUUAGGGUGUUUGUUCACAUGUUUGCGUAUGUGUGAGUGUGCAUGUCAUGUAAACUGGAGCAUGCCUGGUGUAACAGGAGGUGUUUUCCACGGCUGUUCCCUUUUGGCUUGUUGAGUGUGUGGAGAUCUGAUCCUGAGAACUCUCUGGAGAGCAGUUUGGACCUCAUUUUCAAAGCCCUGAGCUGCACUGCAGGAAGUCCAGCCCUUGGAUGUUUGGGACAGGACAGGAUCCACAGGAAGCUCUCUGACCCGAGUCUGGCCUGGGCCGGUGCUCCAUUAGGACUCUCUUUCAUCCUUCUUAUUCUCUCUGGUGUCAUGAAGAUGGAUCAAACGAAAACACAGAAACACCCUCUUUGCCCCCAACCUGCACUGGCCGACUGACAGCAACAGGUUUAAGCAUGGAGCGGUGACUACUUCAAGACUCAAAAUGUGCGUGGACUGACAGAGAAAGUAAAAAACCCCCGCAAAACUCUCUCACACAGAUGGCCCUGUCUAAACGCAAAUGCUGUCUAACCCCAGCCCCCUGUGGUCAUGGUAAGGCCCAGAUUGCCAGUAAUGAGGUGGAUGCUUCAUGGCUCAGCUAUUUGCUGGGUAAAGGGAAAGGAUUGCAGUCUUACCUCAGAGCCCUUAAACAUUACUCUGCUUUAGUCGAGGUGAAGGCUGUGCUGUACACAAAGGUCAGGAUCACACAGAGGACAAAGUGAAGCAACAAUAAAAAAUAACCACAAACCACAGUUCUUAUAAAGGCAACUAAACACAUUUGCUUUCCAUCACUUGUUAUACAGCCUGUGAAGAAACAGAAAAUGAGAGAUUCCAACCUCAACCACAUUGAAAUGUCAAGUAAAAUCUGCUCAGUAGAGUACUUGCCAGAACAAACACAUGGCUAGGAUACAGGAGAAAUGACUUCACAUUUGGAAGAUAUACUGCUUGCAUGAUUGCAAACAAUGUGAAAUAUGGAGAGCAGGGACUUCUUUACCAGUGUCCAUUUAUAUGAAACUAAGGAUGCCAUUGUUAAAAAUCUGUAUUACUGAAUACAUUUUUUUUUUUCUAAACCGAAACUUGAAUUUAAAAA